CCUAUUAGGUUUAACACAUCAUAUGGGAAUAAGAAAAAGAGAUCAUCGCAUACUUCAUGCCAAAUGUAUCAGUUGUUUAGCAAACCUCGUGCUAAAUAUAUCAUAAUCAUGACAAAAUAAGUAAGCAACCAUAAGAAUAUAGCAAGCAAAAUCCAUCAACACCCAUCAUAUUUAACACAUCAUAUGAAAAUAAGAAAAAGAGACCAUGGCAUACUUCGUGCCAAAUAUAUUGGUUAUUUAGCAUACCUCGUGCCCAAUGUAUCGUAAUCAUGGCAAAAUAAGUAAGCAAUCAUAAGAAUUUAGCAAGCAAAAUUGAUCGACACCCAUCAGGUUUAACACAUCAUAUGGGAAUAAGAAAAGAUGCCAUAGUAUAUCUGCGGAGCUAUUUCCUCCAACAUCCAUUAAGUUUGAAUCACCAUCAGAAAAAAUAAGAAGACAACUAUAAGAAUACAGCAAGCAAAAUCGAUUGGUACCCAUCAAAUUUAACACAUCAUAUGGGAAUAAAAAAAG
rnacentral:lncRNA from 1 species